rnacentral:rRNA from 1 species
GAUGAACGCUGGCGGCGUGCCUAAUACAUGCAAGUCGAGCGAACAGAUGAGGAGCUUGCUCCUCUGACGUUAGCGGCGGACGGGUGAGUAACACGUGGAUAACCUACCUAUAAGACUGGGAUAACUUCGGGAAACCGGAGCUAAUACCGGAUAAUAUAUUGAACCGCAUGGUUCAAUAGUGAAGGACGGUUUUGCUGUCACUUAUAGAUGGAUCCGCGCCGCAUUAGCUAGUUGGUAAGGUACCGGCUUACCAAGGCAACGAUGCGUAGCCGACCUGAGAGGGUGAUCGGCCACACUGGAACUGAGACACGGUCCAGACUCCUACGGGAGGCAGCAGUAGGGAAUCUUCCGCAAUGGGCGAAAGCUUGACGGAGCAACGCCGCGUGAGUGAUGAAGGUCUUCGGAUCGUAAAACUCUGUUAUUAGGGAAGAACAAAUGUGUAAGUAACUAUGCACGUCUUGACGGUACCUAAUCAGAAAGCCACGGCUAACUACGUG